rnacentral:rRNA from 1 species
UACAGAGGUCUCAAGCGUUGUUCGGGAUUCAUUGGGCGUAAAGGGUGUGUAGGUGGCGCCGUAAGUCGGGUGUGAAAUUUCGGAGCUUAACUCCGAAACUGCAUUCGAUACUGCGGUGCUUGAGGACUGGAGAGGAGACUGGAAUUCAUGGUGUAGCAGUGAAAGUGCGUAGAGAUCAUGAGGAAGACCAGUGGCGCAAGGCGGGUCUCUGGACAGUUCCGUGACGCUGAGGCACGAGGCCAGGGAGCAAACGGG